AACCAUCGGGAAACAACGGAAGCUAUUGGUAAAAAGGUUAACGGAAACGAAACAAACGCAUUCGUCGUUCCAGGUAGUACACUUACUCUGAUUCGAAAAUCAUUUGCAGAAAACGAAGGCGUUUUGUAACGAUGUGCAAUAACCCUGAAUGGAUUUGGAGGAGAAACAUUUUUCUGUAACCAAAAACUAAAUGCGAAAGUCGUUGUUGACAAGAUAGGUUGAAAUUCUUGUAGUGGAAAAUGACUUAAUAUCUGAAAAAGUUUUAUUGGAAACGACUCAAAAUCGAGCGGAUACGGAAAACGAAAAAUUGGAAAAAGUCUUAACAGAUAAUGCUGCUUGUUUCUUGCACAAGACCAACGAAUUAGGUAAACGCUCAAUAUCGAAAAUGAAAAUCGUUUUAACAUCAAACGUCCCAUGUUAUACGAAACCAUACCGAACACCGUUUGCGCUCAGACCUAUUGUUACGAAUUUCAUAUCUGAAUUAUUGUAAAACGUCAUUCGACAUUCGUCCUUCGGAUUCGACGUACGCCUCGGGAAUCGUCAUCGUAGAUAAAAAGAAUGGAGAACAUCGUCUUUGCGUCGACUAUCGUCGCCUUAACAGUAUUACGGUCAAAAUUCCAUUUCCUAUGCCAAACAUGGAAGAGCAAUUCGCUCAACUAGCUGGAAACGUCUAUUUUACGCAACUUGAUCUACGUAUGGGAUACCAUCAAAUCGAGAUAAGUGAAUCGUCCAAACAGUACACGGCGUUUGUUACAGCUGACGGGCAUUACGAAUACAACAGAAUGCCUUUUGGACUCAUUAACGCUCCGGCAGUCUUUCAGUCGGUAAUGAACCAAAUCAUAAAACGU